UACGGAGGCAGCAGUGGGGAAUCUUCCGCAAUGGACGAAAGUCUGACGGAGCAACGCCGCGUGAGUGAUGACGGCCUUCGGGUUGUAAAGCUCUGUUAAUCGGGACGAAAGGCCUUCUUGCGAAUAGUGAGAAGGAUUGACGGUACCGGAAUAGAAAGCCACGGCUAACUACGUGCCAGCAGCCGCGGUAAU
rnacentral:rRNA from 1 species